UCUCCCAAGCUAGGGUUUUGCGAGGGUUUGUCUGCAGUAUAAGUUUAGGGUUUGGAAGAUAUUUUUUUAUAUUUUGGGUUCUGUAUGAAUCAAUCGCACGACGCACCCCGGGCUUCUCUGAAGAUCUCAGUGAAGAAGAGCGCCCCAUUGCUCGUGCUAUACCUUUGCCGUUCAGUGUUGCAGUUUAGCCCUAACUCUUCCUCGGCUGAUCUGUGUCAAAUCAACGGCUACAUCUAUCCCUCUUUGUAGUGUCAAUCAAUUGCCUCUCCUCACCUUUAGCUUUUUUUUUUAUUCUAAUACUUCUGGAAAAAAAGCGUAGUCAUGGAGGCAUAUAUUGAAUUUAGGCGGUGUUAACGUGGGGGCUUUCUGUUUUCGUGGGUUUUGCCCCUAAAAACAACCGCCAUAACUUAGUUGCGUUUCCACACACGCACGCGCGCACGCACGAUCACAAUCUCGCACUAGAAUGUUUUUGAUAGAGAAAUCUUAUAAUUUUUAUUGAUUUGAAAAUUUUGGCGAUGAUUAAAUUUUUAUCCGCGCUUCUGAGAAGAAUCCAUGAAGUACAAAAGAUAAAAAUGGUUGAAUUUCUUAAUAUGAGCCAAUUUCAAUUUAUAGCUUGUCUUUGAUUUAUUGUUGGUACUAGUUCUGAUUUUUUCUGCUUGUUUAUAGUGUGUUUUGGCUGUGAGGAUGAACAUUCAGCUUAUGCCAGUUCUGCUUCAGAAAAUUCCUGAUUGAUACAGCUGUUAUGUAUUCUGAGCCCCUAACUUAAUUUUUAGAGAAUGUUAUAGAAUAUAAUUCUCGAUUGCUAGAUCUAUUAUGUGUUCUUACCUUUGUACUAAAAAUUAAAAUAACUUAGUUGAAUUAAUACAAAAUAUGGCACUUUGAUUGUAGAAGCAUUUUAGGAUAGUUGUUUCUCUUGCGUUGGAUAAAGAAAUGCUCUAAAGUUUUUCAAAGCAAGAUUUUUACUUGCAAAAUAUUACCCACAGGAGUAUCCUGAAAUUGUUUUCAAACACUCCCUAACAUAAACAUUUCGCAAGCUUGCGUUUUUGUACUGUUGUUUGAUUGACCUACAAUUGUGCAGUGUCAUUUCAUGUUAAUGAUAGAGUCCAGUGACGAUAUAUCCAUUUUUUUUAGACGUAACUAAAUUAAAUCACUGUUUUUAGGGAAAACAUACUCGUAGUUGAUGCAUUCUUCUUUGAAAUUGCUGGAGUUUUCUUAGCUAUACCUUAAUUUUGUUCUUAUUAUUGAUGUUCCAUGUUUUAUUGCUUGGAUAUUUUGUAUUUUGGUUACUUUUAACAUAUUGUUUGUUUAAUGUUAUCAAAAUGCCUGUGAUGAUCCAAUCCAUGUUUUGAGGUGUAUUGGAGCCAAGACCCUGUUUUGCAGGGAGAACCUACUUGGUGAAGCUACAUUUCACAUGAUAGUAAUGGAUUUAGCUGAGGCAUUUCUUAUAUUUUAAAUCUGUAUUUCUUAUUGAUUGUGUAGAGAGACUUGUAAAAUUAAAAUAUUGUUUGUUCAAUAUUAUCAACAAUGCCUGUGAUGAUCCAAUCCAUGUUUUUGAGGUGUAUUGGAGCCAAGACCCUGUUUUGCAGGGAGAACCUACUUGGUGAAGCUACAUUUCACAUGAUAUUAAUGGAUUUAGCUGAGGCAUUUCUUAUAUUUUAAAUCUGUAUUACUUUUUGAUUGUGAAGAGAAACGUGUAAAAUUAAAAUUCUAAUGGAUUAUGGUGUGGUUUGAUGUGUUUUCAAUGGGUCUGUAUCUUGUACUACAUUAGUAGUGUCAUGUUUUUGGUUGUCUCAAACUUUGAAAUUGUGGAUAGAUUGUUGAGAAUUUAGAUAUAACAAUUUGGUUGAACUUGAAAAGCACGUGAGUUAGUAUUUUAGUUAGUAUUACAAAUAAUUUUCUAGGAUUCAUGGUAUUUUGAUGCGAAAUUUCUGUCUCACAUUUGGUUUUUUUUCCUGAAAUUCAUUUGUUGAAUAUCAUAGAUUUUAUUUUUCAUUUUGUGAAGACAAUAUUCUUCGCAAUUCCAUGUUCAGUAUUUUUUGAAGUCAUAUGUUAAUAUAUAUUUUUUUUAAUGAUUCAGAUUUCACGUUAUUUUGUGAAGCUGAUUCUUUGCAAGAGGAUUCAUAUCAAGAAGUAUUUUUACAAAAUGGGUGGAAUAUAAUCUGAUUGUGUUGUUUUUGGUUUUAAGUGCUUCGCAUGUUGUUCUUUAGCAGGGUACUUGCGCUAGUUUGAGUUUUAACUAUGCUCUACGCUCUGAUCCGAAAUGGGUGUAGCGUCUGAAAAACUCAGAAAUCACGUGUUGCCAUCAGCUUCUUCCUCUGCAUUCGACAGGAUAUUGGAGUUAAAUAACAACACUACAUUUAAACAUUGGAAGUUGAAUUCUAUAACUUAUUUUGUAGACUUCCAGCUUCGGUGCUUGCAAUUGUUGCUGCACUUCCUUUACCCCAGUAGGUCAAUGCACUAGACGUUGGUAAUCUCAAGAUUGCUGAAGGCUAAUGGGCUUAUUAUUUGUUGAAGAAUCUGCAAGUGUUGGAAAGCCUCGCCGUGUGCAGAGUUGGGGCCAUGUCGCCGCAGCUGCUUGUUAAGUGAAAAAGGCAUCUGUUGCAAUUUUGGGCUAACGCAGUUUAUAAUAAAUUUGAAACAUUUUGUCAUGAGUUAUGUAUGAGACGCCUUUGGAUCACCUAAUUUAUAGUCAUUUUGGAAAACAUUUUCUGAUGAAAUGGAUUAUCUAUGCCCCAGUAGUCUGCA